UUUGUUUUUAAGGCUAAGAAGAGAAUUAAGCUAGUUCUAUAUAGUGACUUAGAAGGGAAAGGGUCAAGUCUCUGGGAGUGUAGGAAAACCUCCCUUUCUUUGUUGCUGUGUGUGUGUGUGUGUGUGUGUGUGUGUGUGUGUGUGUGUGUGUGUGUGUUAUAUGUGAAUGUUCCUGCUGAGGUCAGGGGUUGAUGUUGGGUUUCUUCCAUGAUAGCUACCCACUUUGUCUCUUAAGGGGUAGUAUCUCUUCCUGAAUCUGAAACUCACCAGCCCUUACCAGGCUAGAUAGCCUACUUGCCCAGGGAUUUCCGCCAUCUCUAUCUUCUAAAUGCUGGAAUUAGAGACAACCACCACACCUACCAGGCUUUUCCAUGGAUUCCUGGGAUACACACACUGUACUUUACAGCUCACAGUGCCUCUCCACCGUCACGCUGAGCAUCUCUCCUAUGAGGAAGCUCUCCCCACCGUGCUGCAACCAAAGAAGCAUUAUUGAUACUGCAGGAGAUGGAAAUGGAAGACUGUGGAUCCCAGAUCUACGAGUUGAGCCAUGGAGUCCAGGUGCCAUCUUUAGCCUCUCACAGUGCCUGGAAGGGCCUGUCACAACGACCCAUGGAAGAACAGAAGGCAGCAAACACAUCAGUACUGCAUUUUAUACUGAGUGAAUGGGAACACAUGACUGUCAGGAAUGGACAAGACCACACAUGCCGUGGCUGAUGGCUGGGACAGCCUGGGGCUAGGUGAGCUGCUUCCGUGUCCAGAACUCAUCACUGGCCUUUACCACCUGCUGCUGUACAUAUGUUGGCUGUCCUUCCAGAGAGAGGGGGGGCUGUUUAGGGCAGAAAAUGCUGCACUGUCAGCUGCUGACUCUCCAUACUCGUGGAGAGAGGGGGAUGCUGAUGAUGCGCGAUAGUGAGAAACUCGAUGAUUUAUUUUUCAUUUGAGGAUAUAUUUUCAGGUGAGGAAUCAGCCUCUUUCAUCAUAUUCUGCUCUGUUUUGAGUAAAAAGAAAGAGGACUGUGUAGAGAAAUGAAUUCUUACCAUUGCACUAUCUCCUUUGUGCAUCAUGUGUACUCUUAGUCAAAAAGAGCAUUAUAUUCACUCUAUAAACAUAAAGGAACAGGGCCCAAAUUGCUGCUCGAAUCUCACAAAGCCUCACAGCUACAAGCGUGCCUUCCACACUCCCCUGAGUUUUGUAAGGAGCCCUCUUUAUCUGUGGUUCUGUCACACGGAGGAAGAGGAUGCUCUCUGGUCCCUCGGUUUUGUAUGUCUAAAUCAGUUACUACUUUGGCUUCCGAGACUCUCUUUGUCUUCGAAUGCAUACAGCUGAUUUCCUUUGUAAGGUUCUAGAGGGCUAGGAAGAUAUCUCAGUGGAUAAAAUAUUCAAUAAGAAAGCAAAUAUGAAGAUGUUCGCUCAGAUCCCCAGUACUCAGGUAGAAAGCUGGGUGUGAUGGUGGGUGUCUGCUAUGACCCCUUUGUGGUCAGGGUAGGUUUGGGAGACACAGGCAGACUCUCUGGGCCUUGCUGGCCAGUCAGUCUAACCAAACCUAUCUCAAAAACAAAAACAAAAUUAAAACCAAACAAUGACCAAAGAAACCAAUGAACCAACCAAACAAAAACAACCAAGAAAAUAGAGGUCAAUAGAAGAUACCCAGAAUUCACCUCUGGCCUCCACACACAUGGACUUGCAGACAAGAGUACUGAUACACACCCAUACCUUCUCUCUCUCUCUCUCUCUCUCUCUCUCUCUCUCUCUCUCUCUCAUCACAAAUACUUUCCUCAGCAGCUGGUAAGCUGGUAAGCUGCUUCUCCUUCUCCUCCCACUCAGCUGAAUGCCAGUUGUCCCUGCAUCCCAACCCAGCCUCUCAAAAUGGCUUCAGUUUCCAAGAGACAGCUUGCUUCUAAAUGCCAUCCAGUCCUGUUGCCAGAGGGGGGAGUACAGGGAUUUGUCCAGUGGGAGGGACAGAAAACAACAGCCAGAGCCACCAUGCCAGGCAAGCUCUGUGAACGUGGAUGUCUGGAAGCUGAUUCUGUGGGGAGGUGGGUGUGGCGAGUGAAAAUCACCAGCUUGUUGGGGGCACAUUUCAUGAUACAAAGGGGUCUUCGGUAUUAUUCUACGGCCUAAUUUACCUUCCUGAGAGUUAAGUAUAUGAAAUAAAGCAUGCCUUUUAAGUUA